UUUAAUUUUUUCUCAACGAAGAACUGUAUAAAUAGGUCUAAUGAGCCUUGAGGGCUCUCAUUUGCUUUCACAGUUUCUAGCAAGCUGGGAAAUCUCAGGGCGCACUUGCCCUCCUGGGCUCUGCGCCUCCCACCAGGCCGGCACCGCCUUCACUCUGAGGGCGCUGGGCCCUGGGGAGGGAGGGUUUUCUCAUUCAGAGGCUCACAUUUGGGAAUGUUUAGUUAAGAUGAUUUUUUUUCUUUAUACUUAUGAUAAUCUGCAUAAUCUUUUGUUUGUAUAGCUGGCAAAGUGCUCUCCAGAUAAAGAGAAGGACAUAGUUAAAAUAUAUGAAUAGAAGAGUAAGAUUAGCUGGGAACAUCAGCUGGCUGGGAAGGAGAUCUGCCCCGCCAGCAAGCCAGCUUCAGCUCCUGCCUCCCCCAGAUUCUCCUUCCUUUAUUAGAUUAGCCAAGUGAUGCUCACAAUGGUGAAGAAACAGCUCACAGACAGGAAAAGGCAAAGUCUUCCUUGAACUCAGAUGGUCUUGCUCUGCUGGUAAUGCCGUUUCCACUGUGCUGUCCUCUGAAAAGAACUGUCAGUUGGUAACACAACAAUGGUUCACUCAUCAACAGAUCUGUUGUAUGAACUUUUUUUUUUUUUGCAGUUUUUGGCUGGGGCUGGGUUUGAACCCGUCACCUCUGGCAUAUGUUGCCAGCGUCCUACUCCUUUGAGCCACAGGUGCCCCCCUGUAUGAACUUCUUAAAAGUCUAGCUCUGGUGAUAUUGGGAAACAUCAACAGAGGAGAAACAGAGGACAGAUUCAGAAGGACGUAAUGUUAUUUCUUCUCAAGGAAAACAAAUAGUCUCCAGUGGAAAGAAAAGAAAGAGAGAGAGAAACCAAAUAGAGAUGGAGAAAGAAAGAAAGACAAAGAAGGAAGGCAUACAGUGUGCAGGAAUGUAUUUUUACUGGUUUUGUAGUAAGUCUGAAUGCAAGUAAUUGGGGAGUCAAGGUCUUCCCCACCAAUCAUCAGGCAAGUCUCCUGGAUGGUUCCACUUGUGGCUGCACCUUAGCUGAAGGUGCCAUGGUCUAUCAAGGCAUUUCUGCUUCCCAGGCUUACUUUUCCUCCCUCUCUAGGACUUGUUUCCUGCCCACGGUCAUAGAGUUCUUCUAAAUCUCCCCCAAAUCAUUCAUGAGAACUGACUUCUCCACUGGAGACUGGUCUCACUCUGUUACCUGGGCUGAAAUGCAAGGAUGUCAUCACAGCUCACUGCAACCUCAAAGUUCUGGGUUCGCGUGAUCCUCCUUCCUGUGCCUCCCGAGCAGCUGGGACUUACAAGCACAUGCCCCCAGGUCUGGCUGAUGUUUUAUAAAUUAGUUUUUAGAGAUGGGAUCUUACCACACUGCCCAGGCUGAUCUCAAAAUAGUGGACUCGAGAGAUUCUCCCACCUGAGCCUCCCCAAACUGGGAUUAUGGGCAUAAACCACUGCUCCUGGCCCUGUAGUCCUUUCUUUUAAUGCAUGUACUGUGGUUAAGAGAAACAGGUCAAGUCAGUUAUAUUUUAAUGUUAGUGUUAUUGAAGGCUCAUUGCUGCUAACAAAGGGAGGGCUGGGGCAACCUAGAGCACCAGACAAGGGGUGAGCCGAGACACCGAAGGGAGAACAGACCAUGACCAGAGAGAGAAGGAUCCAGAGUCACACUUGGCCAACUUCAGAAUUUUGCCCUUAUCUUGCCCUGGGAUUAAGCAGAAAUAUUUCAGCAUAUCAUUUUUUCACAUGUAGGAAUUCUUUGGUGAAAUUUAACAUAGUGGCUGUACCGACUCUGAACAAUCCUUUCAUUUAGCUUUUAUAAUUCUUUUGAUUCCCCUGGGACACUCAAAGGUUAAGUGAUUUGCUUAGGUUUCUCCGAAUGGGCCUUGUAAAGAAUUUUAGAACUGAAUAGAUUGGAGGCAGGUCUUCUGACACCCAGCUCAAUGUUUUCCUAAUGGCCUUUCCUUGUAGUUUCAAAAGCUACCCAUAGGUUUUUACUCCAGUGUAAAUUCUCCCUCCAAAAGCUUAUAUUGCUGGUGAGGGGUUGUCGCAGCAUUUAUUUCCUUAGUAAGCCUUUCGUAAUUUUGCUUAGUUACUGUUACCAGUUUUCUAAACUUGGAUCAGCUUUUUUCCUUUAUACAUCCCUCUUUUGUAUUUUAUACUUUUAAAAGUGUUCAUAGACCCCAGAAUCCGGCAACACUUGGCAAACGUGCUUUCUCUGUACCUCACCUCCACAUGUGUUAGUAAAUUGCAAAUUGCUGCUGAUUUUUACCUGUUAGUUUUUAAGAAAAACUUGUUAACCAUUCAUGAAUACUUUCUUGGCAAUACAAAUGAAUAAA